CUUGUACACUCAAUAAGAGGUCCAGCCUGCCCAGUGACCCUGUUCAACGGCCGCGGUAUCCUAACCGUGCGAAGGUAGCGUAAUCACUUGUUCUUUAAAUGAGGACUAGUAUGAAUGGCAUCACGAAGGUUAUACUGUCUCCUCUCUCUAAUCAGUGAAACUAAUCUCCCCGUGAAGAAGCGGGGAUAAUCUUAUAAGACGAGAAGACCCUAUGGAGCUUUAAACUAAGAAGCAAUUGCCCUUAUACCUUUGAAAUUCCAGAAAACUAAUGAGUACAAGGCACUGUGACUUCCAAUUUUAGGUUGGGGUGACCACGGAGUAAAAACUAACCUCCGUACUGAAUAGGGACCUUCCCUAAACUAAGGGCCACAACCCUAAGAAUCAAUACAUUGACAGCAAUUGACCCAAAAAUUUGAUCAAUGAAC
rnacentral:rRNA from 1 species